UUCCCUGUAGUUCAGUUGGUAGAGCAUGGUGUUUGCAACGCCAGGGUUGUGGGUUCGAUUACCACGGGGGGAC
rfam:Salmo salar isolate Sally breed double haploid chromosome ssa24, whole genome shotgun sequence.